ACUUAGAAAACAUCUCCAAAACUCUAGUCUCAAACAUGCAUGAUUCUACAUUGAACUACCAAUGCUAAUUAGACACGCAAAAUAAUAAAAAAGGAAUCAUUUUCACACCUUUUUACCUAUCGUUUAUGUCCAUCUUGCUGGAAUGCUGGGUGUACAUAUAUAUGUAUAUUUCGGUUACAAAUACCCAUAUAUGAUGAACUGAACAUUU
rnacentral:lncRNA from 1 species